ACCCGCUGAACUUAAGCAUAUCAGUAAGCGGAGGAAAAGAAACUAACUAGGAUUCCCCGAGUAGCGGCGAGCGAAAGGGGAGAAGCCCAGCGCCGAAGCCCGCGGUUCUCUGACCGCAGUGCAAUGUGGCGUAUCGGCGGCGACUCGCAGCGUCCGCCCCGGCACGAGUACCUCUGAAUGGGUCUGCCCGCAGCGGGUGUCAGGCCUCUACUUGCCGGUGGGGUGGUCGCGGCCCGUUGCCGUCGCGGAGUCGGGUUGCUUGAGAGUGCAGCCCAAAGUGGGUGGUAAGCUCCAUCUAAGGCUAAAUACCUAGUGCGAGACCGAUAGCAAACAAGUACCGUGAGGGAAAGUUGCAAAGAACUUUGAAAAGAGAGUUCAAGAGUACGUGAAACCGUUCAGAGGCAAACGGACAGAACUGGGCGAGUCGGUCGUCGUCAUUCAGCCGCGGGCGCGCCCUCACCGGCGUGGCCUCGGUGCACUUGGCGGCGGCGGAGCGCGACGACCGCCUGUCGGGUCGUCAGAAGCCCGGCGGCAAGGUGGCGACGCGCUCGCGCGUCGUGUUACAGGCCGUCGCGGCGUUGGCAGACUUGGCGGGCGAGGAGCGCCUGCGGUGCACUCCCCCCUCUCGGGGGCGGGAGCGGCCCGACGCGGUUGGCUUGCGGGCGCCGGCGACGAACUGCUCGCAGUUUGAUGUCGCGCGCGCCGUCUGUCGUUCCGCGCGGUGCCACGGGGCACCCAGGGUCCGGGUCGUGUGGUUCCUGGCACUCUGUCCGACCCGUCUUGAAACACGGACCAAGGAGUUGAGCACGCGCGCGAGUCGAUGGGCUCGUUGAACCCCAGUGGCGCAGCUAAGGCAAAACGGGCGUGAUCCGGCACUGGCGUGUCGGCGCAACGCCGGCCCGCAGGCGACUCGUUGCAAGUGCCUGCGGCGCAAGAGCGCGCGUGCUCAGACCCGAAAGGUGGUGAACUAUGCUUGAGCAGGGCGAAGCCAGAGGAAACUCUGGUGGAGGCUCGCAGCGAUCCUGACGUGCAAAUCGGUCGUCAAACUUGAGCAUAGGGGCGAAAGACUAAUCGAACCGCCUAGUAGCUGGUUCCCUCCGAAGUUUCCCUCAGGAUAGCUGGCACUCGGGAUAAAUGGUUUUAUCCGGUAAAGCGAAUGAUUAGAGGCAUUGGGGACGAAACGUCCUCAACCUAUUCUCAAACUUUAAAUGGGUAAGAGGCGCGGCCCUUCCUGAUCGGGGUCGCGUGCUUGAACAGAGAGUGCCCAGUGGGCCGUUUUUGGUAAGCAGAACUGGCGCUGUGGGAUGAACCAAACGCGCGGUUAGGGUGCCUAACGCACGCUCAUGAGAGACCACAAAAGGUGUUGGUUGAUAUAGACAGCAGGACGGUGGCCAUGGAAGUCGGAAUCCGCUAAGGAGUGUGUAACAACUCACCUGCCGAAUCAACUAGCCCUGAAAAUGGAUGGCGCUGGAGCGUGCGACCCAUACCGCGCCGUCGGGGCAAUGCGUGCGAAAUGCCAGGCCCCGACGAGUAGGAGGGCGUGUCGGUGGCGUUGAAGCGUAGUGCGCGAGCACGCGUGGAGCCGCCUUCAGUGCAGAUCUUGGUGGUAGUAGCAAGUAUACAAAUGAGAACUUUGUAGACCGAAGUGGAGAAGGGUUCCAUGUGAACAGCAGUUGGACAUGGGUCAGUCGGCCCUAAGAGAUCGGAGAAUUCCGUUCUGAACGGGGGAGACGCGUCGCGUGCAACGACCGUCUGAAUUGCUGAUGAUGAGAGUUGGUUGAUCCCGUCCGAGGCUGCGCGCGCGUGCCGAGUGAACACUAGACACCCAAGCACGCGCGCGCGCCCGAGGCGAACCCUCACACACACAAUCAGAGUGCGGAGCCGUUUGACACGCGCUCGCGCAUGUCUGCCCCCGAUGCGAUCGAAAGGGAAUCGGGUUAAUAUUCCCGAACCUGGCAGUGGAGAUUGGGCCCUCGGGCCCCAGUGCGGUAACGCAACCGAACUCGGAGACGCCAGCGUCGAUCCCGGGAAGAGUUCUCUUUUCUUUGUUAGGAGCGGACUCCCUGGAAUUGGCUUGUCCAGAGAUAGGGACGUUGCAUCCGUAAAGCGUCGCGCCUCACGCGGCGUCCGGUGCAUCGGCGUUGGCCCUUGAAAAUCCGAGGGAGGCAGUGUAAUUUUCACUCCAGGCCGUACCCGAAUCCGCAGCAGGUCUCCAAGGUGAACAGCCUCUGGUCGAUAGAACAAUGUAGGUAAGGGAAGUCGGCAAAUCCGAUCCGUAACUUCGGGAUAAGGAUUGGCUCUGAGGUGCGGGCUGCUUCGGGUCGCGGCAAGAAGCGGAUCGUGCGUUGGUUGGACUGGGCGCGUCUCACGGCGCGUUCGGACCGCCGCCAGCGCGCGUCCGUGGGAGGCCGUGGCUUUCGCCGGCGUGGGCUCGCGUCCGCGUCGGCUUCGUUCGGCCUAAACGCACAGCACAGAACUGGCACGGACUCUGGGAACACGA
rnacentral:rRNA from 1 species